rnacentral:lncRNA from 1 species
AUAUAAUUAAAAUUUAAUUUAAAAUAACUAAAUUAUUUUUUAUACAUAAAUUAUAAUAAUACAACAAUAAAAUUACAAACGAUAAAAAUAUUAAUACUUAAUUAAUCAAUUUUUUUUUCAUAUUUUAAUUGUACAAACUAAAUAAAAAAAUUAAAACUUAACUAAUCAAUUUUUAUCAUAUUUUAAAUAUGUCAACUGAAUAAAAGAAUAAUUAAUAACAUAAUUAAAUAUAUUUAAAUAUAAUUAUAUUUACCACCGACCGUCCGUAGAGCAAGUGGCAAAGGGCUUGGUGGUUGGUAUCCGAAACCCAAAUUCGAAUCCUAGUUGAUUCACAUUUAUAGCUAAAUUUAUUUCUAAAUGAACUAAACGAAGUUGGUAGCGUGCUACCUAUCUCUCAAAAAACUAUAUUCACCGUAAUUGACUUCGACCCACGAUAUUAUGUUGUUUGAGGUUAACUUGAGUUUCGAUCGUAACUUUUUUACGGCGAAUCAAACAACAGAAGUGAUUACGAUCGUAACUUUUUUACGGCAAAUCAAACAACAGAAGUGAUUGUUUAUGGCGAAAACGACUUCCCUCCUCUCAACUUCCAACCCACUUUCACCCAAUCAAAUAUGCCCUUAGUAAAUGAGUAGAACACGAGCUGAGGUCAGUUAGUUCGUGUUCGGCUCGAUAACAGCUUGAAUACGUAUAUAAUUUAUAUGUACAUAAUUUAUAUAAUUUAUAUUUGUAUAUAUAAAUAAUAAAUAAUUAAAUAUAUAGAUAUAUAAUACAUAUUUUUAUUAUUUAGUUUUUAGUUCCAUCUAAAUAUAAAGCCCAACUUAAUUAUUAAAAGGCCUAUUUAUAUAUAAAUUUCCAUCCAUUAGGUCAAAAUCUAAUAGGGACGUAAAAUCUCAUAAAUUUAUUAUAUAUAUUUUUUAAAAAAUUUUUAAUUUAUUAAUCGUGGAUCAAUUUAUUUUUGGCUUGAUAUUUUAACGUGUCAGCUUAUGUACGUUCAACUUAUUU